rnacentral:rRNA from 1 species
GACGAGCCACACAAACGUUAUUCGGAAUUACUGGGCUUAAAGGGUGCGUAGGCGGCACGGUAAGUGGGGUGUGAAAUCCCUCAGCUCAACUGAGGAACUGCGCUCCAAACUACCGUGCUUGAGUGAGACAGAGGUAAGCGGAACUUCGGGUGGAGCGGUGAAAUGCGUUGAUAUCCGAAGGAACACCGGUGGCGAAAGCGGCUUACUGGGUCUCAACUGACGCUGAUGCACGAAAGCUAGGGUAGCAAACGGG